UUAUCUUCUGAUGUCAUUAAAAUGUGCACCUAACUUUGUUUUGCGCUAAACAGGGCUUGGAACUCUAAGGCAAAUCACUUCAAAAGUUAAAAUUGUGUUGUGUCAUGUGAUUAACAGCGGUUAAUGGGUGACUUGUCAAAUCAGACAACUUCUUUUUCCCUUUCCCUCUUUUUCAGAUUCCAAGCCUGGAGAAAAGAGGAGCACCUGUAUUAAAAACUGACCGGACUCCACAAGCUAGGAAGUGAGUGUGAAACACCCAUGACAGGGAAAAAGUUUCUGAAGGUCAUCGUGGAGCCCCUUCUGGCAAUCCCUGGGCUGAGGAGCCUCAACUCUCAUUCAGAAUGUGACGCGGAGAGUGGACGGUGCCCAUGACUGAUCUGGAGACCUUUGACAUGAUGUCCCAGGAAAUAAAUGACAAACAGGAUGCAAGACUGAAUGACAGAAUGAUUAAGCUUGGAAUUGGUUGGUCAAAAUUUUAGAUGUCCCUCCUCACUCUUGAUAUCUUACAAAUGGAACCUAUAGGUUCUGUUUGGUUUAAUUGCUGUACUGUCAAAGUUACUGACUUUUCAGUUAUUUUUGGCUUGAUUUACAAGAAAAAAAUUCAAUUCAAUUUUGUCUACUCUUAAUUCCACUUUUCUGAGACACUGUUCAUAAUUCCUUGUAUACAGAUUGCAAAGCAGUCUUGUGUUAGGAGGCCGCUGAUUUGAAGACCUGCAUGUUUCUAAGACCAUGGACAGACUCUACACAAAUGACAAUGACAACGUUCAAUAUGCGUGCUUGUGUGACUCGUGCAGAGGGCCCUCAGGAAGACUGCUCUGAUAGCACUGGUAAAUAAAA